UACGUAGGGGGCAAGCGUUGUCCGGAAUUAUUGGGCGUAAAGCGCGCGCAGGCGGUCAUUUAAGUCUGGUGUAUAAACCAAAGGCUCAACCUUUGGACGCAUUGGAAACUGGGUGACUGGAGUGUAGGAGAGGAAAGUGGAAUUUCCACGUGUAGCGGUGAAAUGCGUAGAGAUGUGGAGGAACACCAGUGGCGAAGGCGACUUUCUGGCCUAUAACUGACGCUGAGGCGCGAAAGCGUGGGAGCAAACAGG
rnacentral:rRNA from 1 species